CACAAAGUAGACAUUGGCCAGGCGGUGGAACUGCUCGAAGAGGUUCUUGGGCAGGAAGGAGAGCGCCGUGUACUUGGUGGUCUUGAGGCGGUUGCAGGCCAGGGCCGUCCUCUUGGACUUCUCCACCUCGGCCUCAGAAAAUGAGCACUGGCAUUCUUCUGGAAGUAACUCUCAGUUAUGGAAAAAAAUGAUUAUUUCUUCUUCUGUUGUCCAGAAGCUGAAACUUCCAACCAGUUCCCCAUGAACAGUCACCUGAGCAGUGCAUGUGAACAACUGCCUUUGUCCUGAUACAGCGGGGGAUCCCUUGGUACUUUCUUCUGCUAACCAGCCUCAGCAGAAGAGUGGUGACAAGCACUGGGGCAAGGUGGGUUGGGAACACCCCAGGCAGCUAUGUCUGGCUGCUAUGUGAGCUGGUACCUAAGCCCUGUGAAAUAGUUUUCAGCUGUGUUUGUACCACAUCGUCUGGAAGCAGCCUGUGGAGCAGCAGAGCUUCAGAGCCUCAGGAAGCUACAACAGCAAAUGAGUUUCUGGUGCGCGCAAGCUGAUGGUUUGUUACCUGUAAACGUAAGAGGAAAACAGACAGGAGAGCGUGGAAGCCAGCUGAGCACCCAGCAGAAGUCUGGAGAGAAUCACAACUCACACAGUGGUCCAGAGAAACCACCACAAGUACUUCAAGCAAAAGGGUUCCCCUUUUUCCCCUCUUUUGCACCUUUUGCAAGCACAUGGACCACUGACUUCAGAGUAGUCCUAGUAAUAAUUUAGUGGACAUGGUGAUUUAGUGAACAACAGUGAGAACAGAGGAAUGUACAGCAGUGGUCAUCCAA